CUACAAGUGUGACAUCAGCGGUCAUGGAGAGUCUCCAUCCAGCUGGAUCACUGUCACAGUCUGUGUUCUGGUUCUUUUGGUGUUACUGGUUCUGCUGGUGAGACGAGAAGUUCAAAGGAAAACUGAACGGGAGGAGUUGGAGAUGAUGACAUCACGUACAGCAAAGGCUCAAGUCAUCAACAACAGCCAAUCAGAGGAAGCAGAGGUAGUUUUUAAUGUGCUGUG